rnacentral:rRNA from 1 species
GACGAACGCUGGCGGCGUGCUUAACACAUGCAAGUCGAACGGAAAGGCCCUGCUUUUGUGGGGUGCUCGAGUGGCGAACGGGUGAGUAACACGUGAGUAACCUGCCCUUGACUUUGGGAUAACUUCAGGAAACUGGGGCUAAUACCGGAUAGGAGCUCCUGCUGCAUGGUGGGGGUUGGAAAGUUUCGGCGGUUGGGGAUGGACUCGCGGCUUAUCAGCUUGUUGGUGGGGUAGUGGCUUACCAAGGCUUUGACGGGUAGCCGGCCUGAGAGGGUGACCGGCCACAUUGGGACUGAGAUACGGCCCAGAUUCCUACGGGAGGCAGCAGUGGGGAAUAUUGCACAAUGGGCGGAAGCCUGAUGCAGCAACGCCGCGUGCGGGAUGACGGCCUUCGGGUUGUAAACCGCUUUCGCCUGUGACGAAGCGUGAGUGGCGGUAAUGGGUAAAGAAGCACCGGCUAACUACGUG